CAUAUGUAACAAACCUGCACGUUGUGCACAUGUACCCUAGAACUUAAAGUAUAAUAAAAAAAAUUCAAGACCUUGUGUGAAACAAAGAUCUCAAAAUCGCAGGUCACAGCCAAAUGUGACCAAGAUGUAUUUAAGUUGGGGCCAUAUCACAUUUUAAGAAAAUGAACCAGCAUAUUAAAUUUAGUAGGUUUCACAUACAAAUCUAGAUCUCCAGUUUCUCUAGAAAAAUUGUGAAGUCUAGCAGCACCAGGCCUGUGUUCUUGAAUAACAGCAAUCAAUUGAACCAGAUGAUCAGCCUAGUGGUUUGCCAUAGAACUCACUAUUCCCAGGGGCAUUUAUCAUACAGCUUGCAUUUUUUUUCAUUCUGAGUUUAAAAUAUAUUUUUUACCUCUUAUUUAUUUUAUGUUAUAUGCUUACACCAUAGUUCCCUAACCAUACAGAAAGUGUGAUACAUACCUACAAUUGAUUUUUCUCCCAUCCACCCUCUUCUGUAGGCAUCUGAGUUGUCAACCACUGCCCUGAAAACAAUUUUUAGUUAAAUGAGGCUGCACCAGUCCCGUGUAACCACUAGAUGGAGUCUAUUUGGCCUUGCUUGUUUCAGCUGCUCCUCAAUGUUUUGAUAACCUGAUAACCACACCAGAGCUGGUCUACAGACAAAAGGUUUACAGAAUCAAUAGUACGAUUUUCUUUUCCAGUAGUUUUCAGGGCUAAAUGUCACUCUGGUAAAAUUUUCCAUUAUAAUUUGUAAAUCUAAAUAUAUAUGUAUGAGAAUAUGCAUGGGAAAACAUAUGAGUUCAUAAUCACUCAAAUAAAGUAUUAUUGGAACUCCAAAACAGAAGGCAUUUGAUACUGCUAUUUCAGGGUUCACCUAGUUUUUAUCAACUUCAGGUGGAAAAUUAUCAAAGAAGAAAACAGGUAUUAUUUUUAUGGAAUGACAUAUUCUUAUCCUACCAUAAAUGUCUGAGUGUAGAGUUACAAUUUCUAUUAUUAGCAAAAGGGAAAAUAUUUUAAUAUAGGUUGUUUAUAAUAAAUAGUUUUUCAACUGAAGAAAAGUUAACCAUGUGCCGUUCACCCAAUUCACAUUCAUCUUUGCACCUUCUUAAAUUUGUUUUUAAAUUUGUCAAUAACUUGAUGGUUUUACACAAGGAUAGACCAGUAAAAUUGAUUUUCAGUCUGACAUCAAGGGCAAUACAGAUCCCAGGGGAGCAAGGCCAGCUAGCAUGAGGAUACUAUGCUACCAAUGUGUGAAUUACUGGGCUGCGAAGGAAGCCUAGAGGAAAUGAAAAAAUGUAUUUAUUUAGAUAUAACAAUGUGUGACUCUUCCCACUAGAAAUUAGAUGAAUCAUUUUGGUACUAAUUUAAAGCCAUUUUAACACAUAAAUGUCCUGUCAUUGGUUCAAUUUAUGUAGUAUCAGCUGUAUGUCCUAAACUGAGGUUAAGUCUACAGGUACAAAAAUAAGAAGGAAAUGGUUGGUCCUUACACCAAAGAAAUUUGGAGUCUGGAAAAAAAAAAUCACAUACAGGAAUAAUAAUUGUAAAGAAAAUGCAACAACUGAAAUUUAUAUAUUAUAAAAUGGUAUGCACAUAUAUUUGGUUUAUAAAUAACAUAAAUAUAACAUAUAAUGCAUCAGACAGAAGUAAAAGCUUUAAAUUUCAGUUAUAAAAUGAAAACAUAUUGCUAUGAAUAAUGAAAACUAAAUUAAUAAAAAAUUUUAUGUUAUCAUUCUGGAAAAUCUUUCAAAAACAGUCUUUGGGGUAGUAUAACUUUGUGACCAGAUGCUCAUAGCUCAAAUAUAAAGAUUAGUCAAAAUUGGCAAAAAGCUAUGUUCUACAGAACAAAUUAUCACUUGCUUCACAAAUAGCAAGUGUGCUCACCUAAGGAAAAUCAUGCUUGUACGAAAAAAGAUAGUUCCCUAGUUUCCAAAUUGUAGUAAAAAUGCAGUGAUCAUGGGCAACUUCAAAACCACAUCAAAGAAAACUGUAUGAAAAAGCAGACAGGGAAUGCAUAUUUUCAAAAUGCCACAAUGUUACAUUGCAAACCCUGGUCUAAACCGUAACAAAAAAUAAAACUAAUUUAAAAACCAAUUAUAAUAUCUGAGGAAACAGAUUACUAAAAGUAUGGAUAAAUGAAUUGUUCUUGAGAAUAUGUAUAAUUUCCAUAGAAAGAGUUAUAUAAAAUACUUGCACCUUACUUUUAAACAUAUUAAUCAUACACAUUUUUGUUUGUUUUACUUGUACACAUACAGGCAGCCAUUGAAAAGAUUAAAAUUUUAACUACAAUGAACAACUUAUUCUUUAGUCCAUGCAUUAACUAUGCAUUCAGGUAAAUAUCUGUGAAAAUAAUCAGUUAUUCUAAAACUGCUUAAGAUCUGGAAUGAUAGUAAAACUAUCUUUUUUGGAAGAGAAUUUUUCAGGAAUAUAAAUAUUUUCAUAUAACAUAAGAAGCUUCUAGAAAUGUAACAUUUUUAGACAGUUACAAUUUAUUAGAUACAGCAUUGAAAUAAUUUUCAUUGAAGAUGAUAUUAUGCUAAGCCAAUUUAUUUUGAGAUAUGUCUCUUAAAACCAGGAAAGUUAGAGAUGUUAUCUAAAAAAGAAAAAUCUUUCUUUUAAAGAUGAAAACAUUACAUUUACACUUACAAGUAAAAUGUAUUAUUAUUUAUCUAAAACACAGAGGAAUACUUAUUUUAUAUUUAAGAAUCGCAUUGUAUUAAAUUUUUCAAGAACAAUUACAAAACGCUAUCUUACAUUCAAAAUAGUUAUCUGAUAGUGGUCUAGAAAACAUUUACUAGCACAUUUCUUCUCAAAUAAUUUUCUUCAAAUGAAAGAGUAAAUACCAUUACUCAGAAUUAUCAUUUUUCUCAUUACCAGUUUCUUCACACAUGGGUUUCAAUCAAUAUUUAGUCAUUUUCAGACUAUGUAUUCACAAGCAAAGUGAAAUAGAUAAUUAUUUAAUCCCUUUAGUUCAAGCUCAAAAUAAUCAGUAUUUCAAUAAUCUUUGCUUUCAAGACUACUGUGAUUUUCAGACUGUAAUUUCACAGAAAAUUAGUUAAAUCCUGUAUUUCCCUAUGUAUAUGUGCUCAGUCUUGAUAAGGAAUAUUGUCUUCCAUUUCCUUGAUACUUAUGUUAAAAUUUACAAGAAAAUCAUCAGAAUUCAUCACAUCUUGUAAAGCAUAUUUUGUUAAUUUUAAAACAGUAUUUCUGUGUAACAGGCCAUUGUGGACAGAGAAAAUAAUUCUACGUCAAGGAGAAGUCCAAGGUCUAAAAGAAUGGAAAAUGCAAUUGAUGCCUGUUAUUAACACACAACAGGACUAGGGUGCAUGCAAUAAAAAGGAAAGAAAAUACACAGACAAAGAAUAAUUAAGGAUUGCAUCCACUUUUUACCAUUUUAACAUCUCUCCACUAUAGACAUUAAUAAUUGGGUAAUUGUAACUUUCUCCUGCUUUUACUCACUGGAGAGUUGCUGCCAAUAUCUCUAAUCAUCACAGCAUGUGCCAUUUGGCUGAAAAAGUGAAGGCAGUUUAGUAUAGAGAGAGAAAACAUUCAGGAUGAAGUGGGUUGUGAGAUGAACUGGAAAGGCAUGAAGAAACAAUAUUAGACAUGAUACAGAGUCUUGUUAUGCCCAUCGAGUUUAGACUAACCCGAAAAACAAUGUGUAAUAAUUGAAAAAUGUUCAUCCUCUUUAAAAGUAAGUGCUUUCCACAUUCUUAAAAUGUAAUGAUUAUUGCAUAAACUAGAAUCAUUAAUGUAAUGAUUAUUGCAUAAACUCGAUUAUUGCGUAAUAGGGGUAAAAAUAAAUAAGCUUAUUUGAGAAAUAUUAAGAAUGGGGCCACAGUUUGGGUUUUAGCAACUGAUUGGAAAGUGAUGCCAUUCACAUUGGACACGUUUAAAUUUGAGACGCUAGUGGAACAACCAUGUAUAGACACCUACUCGGCAAUCCUGCAUAUGAUCUCAACAUCAGAAGAGAGAUGUGGGCUGAUGACACAGAACUGAGAAUAGCCAGCGUUGCCACUGGGAGUAACCAUCACAUAUGUGGCAAAAAAGGCCAUUGGCGCAGAUAUAAUCACCCAGGCGGGAUGUGUAAAAUGGAAAAAGAAGGCAACCUAGAAGCAGGAUUCAACGUAUCAGAUACAGUAAUGAAGACAAUAAGAAAUUGGAUUGAUCCAGGUCUGGAGUUUUGCCACAGAGUGAAAUGGAACAACAAUAUGCAGGAGAAGUGAGGAUACUGAAUUCUACUUGAAAAUUAUACAGAAACAAUUUCUUAGAAUGCUCACAAAAGACCUGAAAACAUGGGGAGGAAGCAGGGCAUUUACAGCAGGUCUUCUCUGACACUGUGCUGGUGGGCAGGGAGCCACCUCAUUACUACCAGGCACAGAUGCAGUCUUGCUCUGUUGCCAGGCUGGAGUGCAGUGG
rnacentral:lncRNA from 1 species